rnacentral:rRNA from 1 species
AACACGUGGGCAACCUGCCCUACAGAUCGGGAUAACUCAGGGAAACCUGGGCUAAUACCGGAUAAUCCUUCGAAUCACAUGUUUUGAAGUUGAAAGGCGCUUCGGCGUCACUGUAGGAUGGGCCCGCGGUGCAUUAGCUAGUUGGUGGGGUAACGGCCUACCAAGGCAACGAUGCAUAGCCGACCUGAGAGGGUGAUCGGCCACAUUGGGACUGAGACACGGCCCAAACUCCUACGGGAGGCAGCAGUAGGGAAUCUUCCACAAUGGACGAAAGUCUGAUGGAGCAACGCCGCGUGAGUGAUGAAGGUUUUCGGAUCGUAAAACUCUGUUGUAAGGGAAGAACAAGUACGUUAGGAAAUGAACGUACCUUGACGGUACCUUAUUAGAAAGCCACGGCUAACUACGUGCCAGCAGCCGCGGUAAUACGUAGGUGGCAAGCGUUGUCCGGAUUUAUUGGGCGUAAAGCGCGCGCAGGUGGUUUCUUAAGUCUGAUGUGAAAGCCCACGGCUCAACCGUGGAGGGUCAUUGGAAACUGGGGAACUUGAGUGCAGAAGAGGAUAGUGGAAUUCCAAGUGUAGCGGUGAAAUGCGUAGAGAUUUGGAGGAACACCAGUGGCGAAGGCGACUGUCUGGUCUGUAACUGACACUGAGGCGCGAAAGCGUGGGGAGCAAACAGGAUUAGAUACCCUGGUAGUCCACGCCGUAAACGAUGAGUGCUAAGUGUUAGGGGGUUUCCG